CCCCUGGGGUUGGGGGGGGUCUAUGGGGUGGCCGCCAGAACUCUGGAACCCCUGGGGUUGGGGGGUCUGUGGGGUGGCCCCUGGACCUCUUCCUUCCCUUUAGAGCCACGUGCGUACGGGGAAGCCCCGACAGCAACCAAGACCCCCAGAGAAGGGGGAAGGAAGUGGGCUCGGCUGCCUUUGAGCGGGGGAGGACGUUGGCACCCGGAUGCUUGGGCCCCCCCAGUGCCCCAAAGGGGCGGGGAGUGGGGAUGGGGCCAAACGCAGACACUGGGCACCCCUAACGCCUGGGUCCCCCAAACUCCUGGGUCUCACCCCCCUGUGCAGGGGCUUUGGUCUCCCCAGCCAUGUGGUUCUUCAUCUGCCUCUUCUUCCUCAUCCCAGGUGGGAACCAGCACCCGCCUGCCCGCCCUGCGCUGGCUGCAGAAGCCUGUCUACGACCACAACCGCCGCGACUACGUGGGGGGGCUGCUGGCGAGCACCGCCACCGGUGCCACCAGCUCCAGGGCCAGGAUCAGGCUGGCGGCGUCCCCCCGGCCCCACGCCCCCACUGCCACCACCGCCUAUGCGGAGGGGGACUGCAGCCUGAUCCUGUCCCAUGUCCGGGCUGAAGAUGCCGGUGAAUACGGGCUGCGGCUGGAGGCCAACAGCUCUCGCUCCAGACAUGGCCUGCGCUGGUUCCACAAAGUCAGUCCUCAACGUCACCGAUGCCCCCCCUGCUCCCCACCUCUGGCCAGACCCACAACCCCUCGUCGAAGGGCGCAUGACCACCCUGGGGUGCUGGGUGCCCCCUGUCUGCCCCGAGGACACGGUCACCCUUGCCUGGGAUGGGCCAGCCUCCAAAGUGGCAGGGGCAAAAGUGCAAGCCUGGACCCCUCCAGACCAUGCUAUGGUCCCCUCGGCCAUCGGCAUCAGCUUGGACUUCAACCCCACCUGGUACCAUGACAAGUCCAACCUCAGCUGCCUCCUGCGAGGGGCUGACGGGAAGACUGUGGCCCAGGCAACCCGCCAGCUCCAGGUCCACUGUGAGACUUGGGGGUGUGCAUAUGUGCAUCCCUAGGGGGUCCUGGGGUGGCUACGGGGAGGGGGGGGGGUUGGUGGAGAUAUGUGUUUCUAUGUGGCUCUGGGUGGGCCGAGAGAGGUCCCUGGGGUGGCUAUGAAUGUUCUGGGCAUCGACAGGGGGCUGAGGGGAUCCCUCAAAGGUCCGGUGGGGACCCUCCAGGGUGUUCUGGAAGGAUUGUGGAGGUGCCUGGGGUGCCUGUAGGGUACCGGGGAGUGCAUAUUGGGCUUGUACUGCUCCAUACUG
rnacentral:lncRNA from 1 species